AUUGAACGCUGGCGGCAUGCUUUACACAUGCAAGUCGAACGGUAACAGGCCGCAAGGUGCUGACGAGUGGCGAACGGGUGAGUAAUGCAUCGGAACGUGCCCAGUCGUGGGGGUAAACUACUGGAAGGGGUAGCUAAAACGGCAUAGGACCUAGGGUGGAAAGGGGGGGCCGUUAGGCCCUGCGGGGAUGGAGGCGGCGAUGUCAGAUUAGGUAGUUGGUGGGGUAAAGGCUCACCAAGCCAACGAUCUGUAGCUGGUCUGAGAGGACGACCAGCCACACUGGGACUGAGACACGGCCCAGACUCCUACGGGAGGCAGCAGUGGGGAAUUUUGGACAAUGGGCGCAAGCCUGAUCCAGCAAUGCCGCGUGCAGGAAGAAGGCCUUCGGGUUGUAAACUGCUUUUGUACGGAACGAAACGGCUCUGGUUAAUACCCGGGGCUAAUGACGGUACCGUAAGAAUAAGCACCGGCUAACUACGUG
rnacentral:rRNA from 1 species